rnacentral:sRNA from 1 species
GCCAGGUAUGGUGGCGCACACCUGUAAUCCCAGCUACUCAGGAGGCUGAGACAGGAAGAUUGAAAGUUCAAGGUCAGCCUCAGCAAUUUAGUGAGACCCUGUCUCAA